CUCCUACCAUUUACCCCAUAAUAUUCACUCAGAUACAUGUCCUAAUUAUGAUUCAAAAUCCUACAUCUGAUAAUAAUUAUUUACUGUAUAGUGGUAAAGAAAAUUCUAACAACAACUACUUAUGGAGUCUGAAGAAGGUAAAUGUAAGCAAAUUUUAUCUCUAUUUCGUGGCAUAGAUAGUGUUUCCAAUAGACUUUCAUCAAGUAAAAAAAGAAAAACCUUAUCACGAAAAAAUAUUCAACUUAUAUAUAUUAAUCAUGUUAAAAAAUUAUAUGCUAACAAAUAAAUUUUGACAUGCUAUAAUAUGUAAUAUUUUUAUUUUUCAGGUUUUCGAUCUUGCUAAGUAUGAGUAAUUGCUUGGAGUUAUUAUAUAGUAUGAUAGUACAAAAAUUCUUUAAUAUUAUGAGUGUAUAAAAAAUCUAUUUUUUAGGUCAUUCAUUACACUUUUAUUGAAUGAUAGUUCGAAAUUAUCUUUUAGGUAACCUAACAAUGUAAAAAUUGAUUUAUAUAUGCGAUAUUACUGUACAAAAGUUAAACUCAAAACUCAAGUGAAACCGAAAUAGAAAAGUAUAACAACAGACCUACUAAUCAACAAAUUUCUCCAAUAUUAUUUGGUGGAGAUUAAGGAAUGCCAAAAUAAUCGAGUAAUUAACAUUGUACCAGCAAAAUGACAUAAAUUUCAUAAGGUACACUAUAACAGUCCUUUCAACUUAAUAUGAUAUAUAUAGUAAUACUUUCAAAUUUUACAAAUAAGAGAAAAUUCGAAAGAACUUAAACUAAUAGCAAUAUCUUUCACAAUUCUCUCUUCUUCUUUUUUAACCCAAAUACACAAGGGAAAAAAAGAUUUAUAAUAAAAAUUCACUUAGUUUCCAAAGUUCUAUAGUCCAAAACACCAUUACUCUUUAAUCCUAAGAAAUUAUAACUUGCAAUAUUACCCAUAUUAUUUUUACUGCAAUUGCAAUCUUUACUAUUUUGUAUACCCAAACUGCAUGCAAAACACCUCGAGGGGCUAUGUUGGUAAUUUUGUAGAGAAGGAGGGCUAAUUCUGAGCUCAAGAUUUAAAUCAGGACACUGUUCUGGAAAUGGACUGCUACUAAUUUCAUCUUCUAAUUGACUUAGCCCAGAUUCAGCUUUGACAUUUAUCAUCUUAUUAUGAUCUUCUUCAAUAUCUUUAGUUUUAUGAUCUCCACCUGCAAAUGAAAUUGUUGUGAUUUUUUGCGUUGUACCGGGCUCGUUAACGGGCCUGUGUGUCGUAGGAUCAAUGCCCCGACUCAAAAGCUUCCUUCUUAUAUGUGUAUUCCAGUAAUUUUUUAUCUCGUUAUCUGUUCUUCCUGGUAAUCUUCCGGCUAUAAGUGACCAUCUGAAAAGGAAGAAGAAGGUAACUAAUGCAAGUUAGUUCACAUUUUAAGUAAUUCAACUUUAGUAACGAAAGUUGAAAAAAUGACAAAAAUAGUUUGUUAUGUCUCGAGUUAGUCUAAAAUAGUCCUUCAAGUAUAUUUAUCUGAGCAAUUUUAUUUUUCGAACUUCACAAGUGAGAUAGAGUUUUUUUUUUUUUUUGGAUAUGUAUAUGUAUAUUUUUCAAAUUUCUGAAUUAUUUUAAAUAAAAUUUCUGACUUCGCUGCUGAAUUGACAAAAAGUGAAAUUAAGGAGUGAGUAGUACAUACUUGUUACCCAGAAGGCUAUGGAGUUUGAUAAUGAGUUCAUCUUCUUCUUCAGUAAAAUUACCGCGUUUAAGGUCAGGUCUCAAGUAAUUAAUCCAGCGGAGACGGCAACUUUUACCGCAGCGGAGAAGUCCGGCAGCUUUGGGAAGGGAUCUCCAGCAACCUUCGCCGUGAGUUCUAAUAUAUGAAAUAAGUCGUUCAUCUUCUUCUUUAGUCCAAGCUCCUUUAUUUGUAUGUGCUUUUUCACAACACGGUGAUCUUCCCAUUGAACACUAAUAAUCUCAAACUACUUCUUCUGUGUAGUAUUUAGCUAUGGAGAAUUAAUUAAAGCCGGCUUUUUUCAGGACUUGAGGUGGGAUUUUAUAAGCUUUUGACUCCAUGAAGAAGAUGGACCCCACUGACGUAGGGAGGUGGUGGUGGGGUAGGAGUAGGAGAAAGGGAG
rnacentral:lncRNA from 1 species